rnacentral:rRNA from 1 species
CCUGGCGGCCGUAGCGCGGUGGUCCCACCUGACCCCAUGCCGAACUCAGAAGUGAAACGCCGUAGCGCCGAUGGCUGAGACACGUCUCCCCAUGCGAGAGACGGGAAGUGCCAGGC